CUUAAGAACUCCUUUGAACUCGACUGGCGAACAACAUCUAUAACGUACUUAGGGGUUAAGAUCGCCGCUCCUAUUAGCAACAUAGUAAAGCUCAAUUAUAAGCCCCUCAUACAUCUAUGCACCACAGAAAUACAUAAAUGGAAGAAUGCAAAACUGUCCUGGUUAGGCCGAGUGAAUGCAUAUAAGAUGAUGCUAUUGCCAAGGUUACUGUAUAUAUUCCGCAUGCUCACGAUAGACAUCCAAUCCAUAAAUCGUUACAAGCCAUAU